GGAUCAAGGAAUCGGUCAUGCCUCGGUAUGUACUGGUUUUAUUGGUUCUCACCUUCUAAAGAACCAUAAUGUCAUUCAUUUGAUGUUAUGGGGAAUUAGGACUGUUACCUUGAAAAAAUUAGAGUGUUUAAAGCAGGCUCACGCUUGAAUACAUUAGCAUGGAAUAAUGAAAUAGGACAUCCGAUUCUAUUUUGUUGGUUUCUAGGAUCGAUGUA
rnacentral:rRNA from 1 species